UACGUAGGGUGCGAGCGUUAAUCGGAAUUACUGGGCGUAAAGCGUGCGUAGACGGUAGCGUAAGUCAGAUGUGAAAGCCCCGGGCUCAACCUGGGAACUGCAUUUGAGACUGCUCUGCUCGGGUGCGGAAGAGGGAAGCGGAAUUUCCGGUGUAGCGGUGAAAUGCGUAGAUAUCGGAAGGAACACCAGUGGCGAAAGCGGCUUCCUGGUCCGACACCGACGUUCAGGCACGAAAGCGUGGGGAGCAAACAGG
rnacentral:rRNA from 1 species